UCUCCGUUGGUGAACCAGCGGAGGGAUCAUUACCGAGUUUACAACUCCCAAACCCAAUGUGAACGUUACCAUACUGUUGCCUCGGCGGGGUCACGCCCCGGGUGCGUCGCAGCCCCGGAACCAGGCGCCCGCCGGAGGAACCAACCAAACUCUUUCUGUAGUCCCCUCGCGGACGUUAUUUCUUACAGCUCUGAGCAAAAAUUCAAAAUGAAUCAAAACUUUCAACAACGGAUCUCUUGGUUCUG
rnacentral:misc_RNA from 1 species